rnacentral:sRNA from 1 species
ACAAUAAAAGCUUUGAGAAGCAAGAAGAAGGUUGGUUAGUGUUUUGGAGUCGAAUAUGACUUGAUGUCAUGUGUAUGUUUGAGUAUAACAACUUAAACAGCAACUCGAUCUUAAAAGCCUAAGUAGUGUAUCCUUGUUAGAAGACACAAAGCCAAAGACUCAUAUGGACUUUGGCUAAACCAUGAAAGCUUUGAGAAGCAAGAAGAAGGUUGGUUAGUGUUUUGGAGUCUAAUAUGACUUGAUGUCAUAUGUAUGAUUGAGUCUAAGAACUUAAAUCGCAACCCGAUCUUAUAAGCGUAAGUAGUGUUUCCUUGUUAGAAGAUACAAAGCCAUAGACUCAUACGGACUUUGGCUACACCGUGU